AUUGAACGCUGGCGGCAUGCCUUACACAUGCAAGUCGAACGGUAACGCGGGGCAACCUGGCGACGAGUGGCGAACGGGUGAGUAAUGUAUCGGAACGUGCCCAGUUGUGGGGGAUAACUGCUCGAAAGAGCAGCUAAUACCGCAUACGACCUGAGGGUGAAAGCGGGGGAUCGCAAGACCUCGCGCAAUUGGAGCGGCCGAUAUCAGAUUAGGUAGUUGGUGGGGUAAAGGCUCACCAAGCCAACGAUCUGUAGCUGGUCUGAGAGGACGACCAGCCACACUGGGACUGGGAAACGGCCCAGACUCCUACGGGAGGCAGCAGUGGGGAUUUUGGACAAUGGACGCAAGUCUGAUCCAGCCAUGCCGCGUGCGGGAAGAAGGCCUUCGGGUUGUAAACCGCUUUUGUCAGGGAAGAAACGCUCUGGGUUAAUACCUCGGGGUAAUGACGGUACCUGAAGAAUAAGCACCGGCUAACUACGUGCCAGCAGCCGCGGUAACAC
rnacentral:rRNA from 1 species